GACGAACGCUGGCGGCGUGCUUAACACAUGCAAGUCGAACGAAGUGGCGAACGGGUGAGUAACGCGUAAUCAACCUGCUCUUCAGAGGGGGACAACAGUUGGAAACGACUGCUAAUACCGCAUACUGAAGGAGGGGAUUGUGUCGGAUUAGCUAGUUGGGGGGGUAACGGCCCACCAAGGCGAUGAUCAGUAGGCGGUCUGGGAGGAUGAACGGCCACAUUGGGACUGAGACACGGCCCAGACUCCUCAGGGAGGCAGCCGUGGGGAAUCUUCCGCAAUGGACGAAAGUCUGACGGAGCAACGCCGCGUGAUUGAUGACGGCCUUCGGGUUGUAAAGCUCUGUUAAUCGGGACGCGGUACCGGAAUAGAAAGCCACGGCUAACUACGUGCCAGCAGCCGCGGUAAUUC
rnacentral:rRNA from 1 species